rnacentral:rRNA from 1 species
ACAAUCUGCCUGCAGGUGGGGGAUAACCCCGGGAAACCGGGGCUAAUACCGCAUGAUGCAGCGGGGCCGCAUGGCCACAGUUGUUAAAGCCCUUCGGGGCGCCUGCAGAUGAGUUUGCGCAGCAUUAGUUAGUUGGCAGGGUAACGGCCUACCAAGACGAUGAUGCUUAGGGGGUUCUGAGAGGAUGAUCCCCCACACUGGCACUGAGACACGGGCCAGACUCCUACGGGAGGCAGCAGUGAGGAAUAUUGCGCAAUGGGCGAAAGCCUGACGCAGCCACGCCGCGUGCCGGAAGAAGGUUCUUUGAAUCGUAAACGGCUUUUGUCGGGGAAGAAUGAUCUGGAUUUGUCCGGAUUUGACGGUACCCGUUGAAUAAGCACCGGCUAACUCCGUGCCAGCAGCCGCGGUAAUACGGAGGGUGCAAGCGUUGUCCGGAAUCAUUGGGUGUAAAGGGUGCGUAGGCGGAAGCUUAAGUCUGUGGUGAAAUGUUGCCGCUCAACGGCAAACGUGCCAUGGAUACUGGGUUUCUUGAGUGUGACAGAGGCAGGUGGAAUUCGUAGUGUAGCGGUGAAAUGCAUAGAUAUUACGAAGAACACCAGUGGCGAAGGCGGCCUGCUGGGUCACAACUGACGCUGAGGCACGAGAGCGUGGGGAGCGAACAGGAUUAGAUACCCUGGUAGUCCACGCUGUAAACGAUGUAUGCUAGGUGUUGGUCACGGUUUGGCCGUGAUCAGUGCUGCAGCUAACGCAUUAAGCAUACCACCUGGGGAGUACGUUCGCAAGAAUGAAACUCAAAGGAAUUGACGGGGGCCCGCACAAGCGGUGGAGCAUGUGGCUUAAUUCGAUGCAACGCGAAGAACCUUACCCGGGCUAAAUCUGCCCUGCUACUCCCCGAAAGGGAGGUUCCUUCGGGACGGGGUGGAAGGUGCUGCAUGGCUGUCGUCAGCUCGUGCCGUGAGGUGUUGGGUUAAGUCCCGCAACGAGCGCAACCCCUGUGGUUAGUUACCAAGCAUAAUGGCGGGGACUCUAGCCAGACUGCCUACGCAAGUAGUGAGGAAGGUGGGGACGACGUCAAGUCAUCAUGGCCCUUACGUCCGGGGCUGCACACGUGCUACAAUGGUCGGUACAGAGGGCAGCUGCUGCGCGAGCAGUGGCCAAUCCGCAAAGCCGAUCCCAGUUCGGAUCGCAGUCUGCAACUCGACUGCGUGAAGUUGGAAUCGCUAGUAAUCGCCUAUCAGCAAUGAGGCGGUGAAUACGUUCCCGGGCCUUGUACACACCGCCCGUCAAGCGAUGGAAGUGGGUAGUACCUGACGAUGCCGUGCUAACCUUCGGGGGGCAGGUAUCCAGGGUAAGACUCGCAACUGGCGCUAAGUCGUAACAAGGUAGCCGUACCGGAAGGUGCGGCUG